GAUGAACGCUAGCUACAGGCUUAACACAUGCAAGUCGAGGGGUAACGAGAGGAAAGCUUGCUUUCCUUGUCGGCGACCGGCGCACGGGCGAGUAGCGCGUAUCCAACCUGCCCCCAACUAGGGAAUAACCUUGCGAAAGUAAGACUAAUACCCUAUACUUUCCUCAGAUGCCAUCUGACGAGGAAUAAAGAUUUAUCGGUUGUGGAUGGGGAUGCGUCUGAUUAGCUUGUUGGAGGGGUAACGGCCCACCAAGGCAACGAUCAGUAGGGGUUCUGAGAGGAAGGUCCCCCACAUUGGAACUGAGACACGGUCCAAACUCCUACGGGAGGCAGCAGUGAGGAAUAUUGGUCAAUGGGCGGAAGCCUGAACCAGCCAAGUAGCGUGCAGGAUGACGGCCCUAUGGGUUGUAAACUGCUUUUAUACAGGAAUAAAGUUAGCCACGUGUGGUUAUUUGUAGGUACUGUACGAAUAAGGACCGGCUAAUUCCGUGCCAGCCGCCGCGGUAA
rnacentral:rRNA from 1 species